AUUGAACGCUGGCGGCAGGCCUAACACAUGCAAGUCGAGCGGAUGAAGGGAGCUUGCUCCUGGAUUCAGCGGCGGACGGGUGAGUAAUGCCUAGGAAUCUGCCUGGUAGUGGGGGAUAACGUCCGGAAACGGGCGCUAAUACCGCAUACGUCCUGAGGGAGAAAGUGGGGGAUCUUCGGACCUCACGCUAUCAGAUGAGCCUAGGUCGGAUUAGCUAGUUGGUGGGGUAAAGGCCUACCAAGGCGACGAUCCGUAACUGGUCUGAGAGGAUGAUCAGUCACACUGGAACUGAGACACGGUCCAGACUCCUACGGGAGGCAGCAGUGGGGAAUAUUGGACAAUGGGCGAAAGCCUGAUCCAGCCAUGCCGCGUGGGUGAAGAAGGGCUUCGGAUUGUAAAGCCCUUUUAGUUGGGAAGAAAGGCAGUAAGUUAAUACCUUGCUGUUUUGACGUUACCAACAGAAUAAGCACCGGCUAACUUCGUG
rnacentral:rRNA from 1 species